rnacentral:rRNA from 1 species
GGGUACAUCAGCGGCAGACGGGUGAGUAACACGUAGGUGAUUACCCCAGAGACGGGGAUAACGGGUGGAAACAUCCGCUAAUACCGGAUAGGCUUGUUCGGUCAAAGGGACAAGGAAAGGCUCCGGCGCUCUGGGAGGAGCCUGCGGGCCAUCAGCUAGUUGGCGGGGUAACGGCCCACCAAGGCAAAGACGGGUAGGGGGUGUGAGAGCAUGGCCCCCCACAAUGGGACUGGAACACGGCCCAUACUCCUACGGGAGGCAGCAGCAGGGAAUAUUGCACAACGGACGGAAGUCUGAUGCAGCGACGCCGCGUGGAUGAAGAAGGCCCUCGGGUUGUAAAAUCCUUUACAGGGGGAAGAGGAAGGACGGUACCCCUGGAACAAAGUGUCGGCUAACUACGUGCCAGCAGCCGCGGUAAGACGUAGGACACAAGCGUUAUCCGGAUUUACUGGGCGUAAAGCGUCUGCAGGCGGACAGGUAAGUUGGGCGUGAAAGCUCCGGGUCCAACCCGGAGAGGUCGUUCAAUACUGCGUGUCUAGAGGGUGUCAGAGGGGAGUGGAAUUUCCGGAGUAGCGGUAAAAUGCGCAGAGAUCGGAAAGAACACCAAUGGCGAAGGGCAGGCUCCCUGGGGGCAACCCUGACGCUAAGAGACGAAAGCUAGGGGAAGCGAACAGGAUUAGAGACGCUGGUAGUCCUAGCC